rnacentral:rRNA from 1 species
UACGGGGGGGGGUAAGCGUUGUUCGGAAUUACUGGGCGUAAAGGGCUCGUAGGCGGCCAACUAAGUCAGACGUGAAAUCCCUCAGCUUAACUGGGGAACUGCGUCUGAUACUGGAUGGCUUGGAUUCGGGAGAGGAAUGCGGAAUUCCAGGUGUAGCGGUGAAAUGCGUAGAUAUCUGGAGGAAUACCGGUGGCGAAGGCGGCAUCCUGGACCGGCAUUGACGCUGAACAGCGAAAGCUAGGGGAGCAAACGGG